GAGCCCUUCGGGGUGGAUUAGUGGCGAACGGGUGAGUAACACGUGGGCAAUCUGCCCUUCACUCUGGGACAAGCCCUGGAAACGGGGUCUAAUACCGGAUAACACUCUCACAGGCAUCUGUGGGGGUUGAAAGCUCCGGCGGUGAAGGAUGAGCCCGCGGCCUAUCAGCUUGUUGGUGAGGUAGAAGCUCACCAAGGCGACGACGGGUAGCCGGCCUGAGAGGGCGACCGGCCACACUGGGACUGAGACACGGCCCAGACUCCUACGGGAGGCAGCAGUGGGGAAUAUUGCACAAUGGGCGAAAGCCUGAUGCAGCGACGCCGCGUGAGGGAUGACGGCCUUCGGGUUGUAAACCUCUUUCAGCAGGGAAGAAGCGAAAGUGACGGUACCUGCAGAAGAAGCGCCGGCUAACUACGUGCCAGCAGCCGCGGUAAUACGUAGGGCGCAAGCGUUGUCCGGAAUUAUUGGGCGUAAAGAGCUCGUAGGCGGUCUGUCACGUCGGAUGUGAAAGCCCGGGGCUUAACCCCGGGUCUGCAUUCGAUACGGGCAGACUAGAGUGUGGUAGGGGAGAUCGGAAUUCCUGGUGUAGCGGUGAAAUGCGCAGAUAUCAGGAGGAACACCGGUGGCGAAGGCGGAUCUCUGGGCCAUUACUGACGCUGAGGAGCGAAAGCGUGGGGAGCGAACAGGAUUAGAUACCCUG
rnacentral:rRNA from 1 species